rnacentral:rRNA from 1 species
AUACGGAGGGUGCAAGCGUUACUCGGAAUCACUGGGCGUAAAGCGCGCGCAGGCGGUUUGAUAAGUUGGAUGUGAAAUCCUAUGGCUCAACCAUAGAACUGCAUCCAAAACUGUCAAACUAGAGUCUGGGAGAGGAAGAUGGAAUUAGUUGUGUAGGGGUAAAAUCCGUAGAGAUAACUAGGAAUACCAAAAGCGAAGGCGAUCUUCUGGAACAGUACUGACGCUGAGGCGCGAAAGCGUGGGGAGCAAACAGGAUUAGAAACCCGAGUAGUCC